CUUAAAUUGACAGUAAUGUGAGAAAUAGCAUAAUUUAUAAUGAACUUGAAAGGCAGUAGCACUCACUGUUGCUCAAGCUAAUCAAGGGACUAUCAAAUCAAGGUUUUAAUAUGAGCUUAAAUAUAUGUGGCAGGAAGGUAGUUCUUGCGGGCUUCUGUCUGUCAGUUCCAAGCACUAAACCUGUCAGAGUGCAACAUGGUCGUGUCACUUUUAACCAAGAUGUCACAUAUAUUGUGAGAAACAACCUGCUUUGUGUUUUCUCCUCUAGGAUUUUGCUGGGAAAAGCAAAUGUAAAAGGAAUUUUUUUUUUAACACUGCAUUUUUAUUUUGCAGAUUCUCAGGCUGAUGGAGUGAGUGACAGAGUGGGUUGCCAACUCGAGUGACUCCACUCAGCGUACACAGUGGCUACGGGGGAUAGAUUCAGACAUGCCCAAAGAAGUCUGCCCAGGGGGAGACUCAUACCUUUGAGGUUUAAAUCAGGUGUGUGAAGAAUGCUGGAAACAUGACUUUCUGGAGUUUGGUCUGGGUUGGUUUGGUUUUUUUGUUUUUGUUUUUCAAGGAAAGUGGGAAGCUUGGUGGCUCUUGCCUGUUCUUCCAACUCUUUCAGAGCCAUAAAAUACUUCCAAAGUGUAAUGUACUCUCUCUCCUAGGGUUUGGUCUACUCUAUUCCACUGCUUGAAAGGGUCAUCCUAUAUUUUUAUCAAAACUUUAGGUGUUUAAAGACAUGAUGUGGUUUUUCAUAUGCAAAAAGAGUUUUGAUUUUGGAGACAUUUUUAAAUUGGGGAUUGAGGUAUACUGAUCUGUCUCUUACCAUGUGUCUAUUUCCUUAGAAAAAAUAAGUACAAUUUGUCAUACACAAGUUAGCUACCACAUACCUGAAGAAAUUAUGUGCAGAUUAUCUUUAAAAGUAGGUGUUGACGUUAUCUUUAAAAAGUUGUUAAAUAGCUCCAAAAUAUUGAGCAAAUGUAAUGUUUCUUUUGAAAAUACAACCCACAUUUCCUUGCAGGAUGAAGUUAUGCUUAAUAGCCUCUGUUUAAUUCAUUCAGAAACUACACGAUUCUUGUUGCUAUAUUUUGUUAAAAAGGAAGGAGAGGCUGUUUCUACAGGUGUUACAGAAAAAUCAAUACUGAGCCACGGAUUAUUGGAUCCCAUAGAACCAUGGAGACUUGGCAGUGAAAUUCUUCCAAAGGCAGACGGUGUUCCUAGGUUUGGAAGUAUAAAUCCCAGGGGAAGUGAGCUGAAGAACAUUUCAUGCAUCACUCAUCCUAUUAUGAGCCCUGUGCUGUUCCAUCUCUCUACAAGGUAAGAGAUUUAUUGCGAGCUGGCUUCCGCCAGUAGAAAAUGACGUAUGCUAAUGGCUCAUGCUUCUAAGUGUAUGUUUUUGGAACUCAUAAUGGCCAGUAUAGCAAUUGUUUUAUAAAGAAUAAUUGGAAAAUUUAAGUUACUCAUACAUGCUCUAUCAUGUUCAUCUGUCCCCAGGUAGCAUUUGGUUGCUCUGUCCUGGGAACCACAGUGUAUAGUAUUGUCUUUUCCUCAUGUGAAGUGGGAUGGUAAAUUGGUCAUUUUUAUAAUGAAUUUGAGUAGAGUAGAUGAUCAAAGGAAGAUAAUUCAGGUCUUAAAGUGGAAAAUUGCCCAACUACCCCUGGCUAUGUCUAGGGGUAGGUGUAAUUUAACUUCUAAUACUUGGGAUCAAAAACUGAUUAUGAGAAAGUUAAAAUGUAAACUGCUAGUGAGUACAUGGGAAUGUAUAGAGUUAUCUUAAUAGUAAGCUUUUCUUUCUGCUCUUCAGUAGAACAUUCUUGGUUCUUUUUUUUUUUUUUUCUUCCUUUUCCUGAACUUUCAGACUGGCAGAAACAACAACAAAAACUGUUUAUAAUUUACAUUCUAACUUUGGAUCACCUAGCUCAAACCCUGACUCUGACUACCCAGAGAGACAAGGCUUUGAAGGAAGAAGUAGCUAUUAGAAGGCCGUUUCUGCUUUAUUAAUAAAAUCACAGGGAAAAUGCGACA
rnacentral:lncRNA from 1 species